rnacentral:rRNA from 1 species
UGGGGAAUCUUGGACAAUGGGGGCAACCCUGAUCCAGCCAUGCCGCGUGAGUGAUGAAGGCCUUAGGGUCGUAAAGCUCUUUCGCCUGUGAAGAUAAUGACGGUAGCAGGUAAAGAAACCCCGGCUAACUCCGUGCCAGCAGCCGCGGUAAUACGGAGGGGGUUAGCGUUGUUCGGAAUUACUGGGCGUAAAGCGCACGUAGGCGGACCAGAAAGUUGGGGGUGAAAUCCCGGGGGCUCAACCCCGGAACUGCCUCCAAAACUAUUGGUCUAGAGUUCGAGAGAGGUGAGUGGAAUUCCAAGUGUAGAGGUGAAAUUCGUAGAUAUUUGGAGGAACACCAGUGGCGAAGGCGGCUCACUGGCUCGAUACUGACGCUGAGGUGCGAAAGUGUGGGGAGCAAACAGGAUUAGAUACCCUGGUAGUCCACACCGUAAAACGAUGAAUGCCAGUCGUCGGGUAGCAUGCUAUUCGGUGACACACCUAACGGAUUAAGCAUUCCGCCUGGGGAGUACGGUCGCAAGGUUAAAA